rnacentral:rRNA from 1 species
CCUACGGGAGGCAGCAGUGGGGAAUAUUGCACAAUGGGGGGAACCCUGAUGCAGCGACGCAGCGUGAGUGAAGAAGUAUUUCGGUAUGUAAAGCUCUAUCAGCAGGGAAGAAAAUGACGGUACCUGACUAAGAAGCCCCGGCUAACUACGUGCCAGCAGCCGAGGUAAUACGUAGGGGGCAAGCGUUAUCCGGAUUUACUGGGUGUAAAGGGAGCGUAGACGGCAGAGCAAGUCUGAAGUGAAAGCCCGGGGCCCAACUGCGGGACUGCUUUGGAAACUGCCCGGCUAGAGUGCUGGAGAGGUAAGCGGAAUUCCUAGUGUAGCGGUGAAAUGCGUAGAUAUUAGGAGGAACACCAGUGGCGAAGGCGGCUUACUGGACAGUAACUGACGUUGAGGCUCGAAAGCGUGGGGAGCAAACAGGAUUAGAUACCCCUGUAGUC